rnacentral:lncRNA from 1 species
GGGAUGUACAGUAAUGACAUGAACUGGUGAGUAAUCUCUUGAUUUUGCAAUACCACCUAGGGAUAGGGGUAGGACGAUCAAUUGCGCUAACUUCUGUUUAUAAUGCGGUAUUAAUUACUAGGGGAGGCUUGGGAUAGCAAGCCAGUAGUUAAUAUUAGGCCCUUUUUCGCUGAGGGAUCGGGUUAAGGGGAGGCUAAGAAAGUCGCAGAACAAUUAAAUCAAUCAAACUAAUAUUCAAGGGUAGUAUGUAAGAGAGAGUGGAAUAGAUGAAAUUGUAAACUCCCAACAACAUCCAUUCAUCCAUUCUUUUCGUUUGUCAAUUGAAUCAACUUUAUUUUUUCAUGUUAAUAUUUUUGUUCUCAAAUCCAAUUUAUUAAUUUUUAUUUUCAAGUCUUAUUAUUUUAAUUCACGUGAACGAGAAAACCUUUCGAGUCUCUUGGGAAAACGAUACUUGGUCUUACCAUUUAUGUUACUUGUACGAUUUGGUACGCUUGCCAAUUUGUCAGCAAGUUUUUGGCGUCGUUGCCGGGGACUCGAGGUUUAUUUUUCUAGUAGUGUGGAUUGAUUGAAUUUGACUUGACUUUAUGUUUAUUUUUUUUUAUUUUUGUUCUAAUAAAUUUUUUCUAGGGUUUUGUGCCUAAUUUUUGCAGAAUGCAGUUUGGACAAGAAUUUGAUUCUAUAGGCACUCAAUUCCACCAAAAUGAUUUCAACCACUGGUGGGAACCUCAUUCAAAUAUAUAUCGAAGCCACUUAGGGCAUCAAUCCUCUUCGCGAAAAGAAACGUUAGGGGAAGCUAAAGAACGUUUACAAUAGGAACUAUUCUCUGUCCCAAAAGAAACAUUGGGGGAAGUUCAACAAUUCUUGCGACAACAUUUAUUUUUUGUACCAAAAGAGACGUUGGGGGAAGCCCGACAUCGUUUACAACAAAAUCAAUCUCCUGUACGCAAAGAAACAUUGGGAGAAGCACAAGCACAUUUAUUGCAGGAACAACACUCUCAUGCCCUGAAGGCUUUAGGCAUUAUUAAGGCUGAUACUGAAGUCAACCCUAAAGAAGAAUGUCAAGCCACUAUCUCUGCACAUGAUAAGGUUCUCAAUGAGGAAAAGAAAGAAGAAGACGAGCUAGAGAUGUUGGAAGAGGAAACAAAAACAGAAGAAGUUGUUGUUGAGAAAAAUAUAGAGGAGAUAGAAAUAAAAAAUGUGAAUGAGAGUGAGAAGAAAGAUGAGGAAGGAAAAGCCAUGGUUGAGAAUAAAAGAAAAAAAAAGAAAAAAUUAAGAUAAAGAAAGGGAGAAAAAAGAAAAAGAGAAGGUCAAGAAAAGAGAAAAAUAGGAAAGUUGAGGAGAGGGAAGAAAAGGAAGAGAGGUAAAAAGAAAAGAUCUUGUGAAAAACCCCUGCCUCAUAAAAAGAAAUAUCAUAGCAAGGAAAAUAAAUUUUUGAGCUUUAUGGAGAUCUUCAAGAAAUUAGAGAUUAAAGUUCCUAUGAUUGAAACAUGGAAACAGGUGCUUGGUGUUCUUAAUUUUAUGAAGAAAUUCAGCUGGAAGAAGAAAAAGAAAAGAAUAUCAAGAAAGGGGAGUAUCAACACCUACUGAUGGGUGUUUGAUUUUAUUUUAUUUUAUUUUAUUUUAUGUGAUUUGAUUUGAUUUGAUUUGGUUUUAUUUUGUUUUAUCUUAUUUGAUUUGAUUUUAUUUUAUUUUAUUUUACUUUAUUUUAUUUUAUUUUAUUUUAUUUUUAUUUGUUUUUUUUAUUUAUAUUUUAUUUUAUUUUUUUUGGGUUGUGCUGUUUCUGAUGGCAGUGAUGAUAACAUCUACUAAUGGAUGUUAGGUGAUAUGGCAUUUACUGAUGGAUGCAAAUGAAGAUUAGAAAGAUUAGCGUUUACUGAUAAUUCCUACUAGGAUAGCAUCUACUGAGGGAUGCUAGAAGAUUUAGGUAUCUACUGAAGGAUACAUGGAGGUACACCUACUGAUGGGUGUUGGGAAGGAAGUGCACUUAUUGACAAGUGCCAACCAGGUUUGGGUCAGGCUCGUGACGUUAAA